AAAACCAAGUCUCUAAGCAAUGGAUGUCUUGGCUCCUCACACGAUGAAGAACGUGGCAUAAUGUGUUAAGUAACCGGAGUUGCAAACAUCAUGACAGGUUAAUCUUUGAAUGCAAAUUGCGCUAAACUCGAUCUCGGUCGAGAAGCAUGGGUGUGACAGUACUACAUCUUUUAUAAUAAUUCUUAUUCUAAGCGAAUAAGUAAAUAAUAUAUAAGACAAACAACACGUAGUCUGCCAUACGCAGGAAGACCCGCUGAACUGAAGCAUCUCAUUAAGCGGAGGAAAAGAAACUAACUAGGAUUCCCUUAGUAAAGGCGAUCGAAAAGGGAACAGCCCAACGUCUUAAUCCCGCAAGGGAAAUGUAGUCGGUUCACCUAUUGCACUGGUCUAAGUCAGAUGGAAUGCUGCGC
rnacentral:ncRNA from 1 species